rnacentral:rRNA from 1 species
CAGUCGCCGCGGGAAUACGAAGGGUGCAAGCGUUACUCGGAAUUACUGGGCGUAGAGCGUGCGUAGGUGGUGGUUUAAGUCCGUUGUGAAAGCCCUGGGCUCAACCUGGGAAUUGCAGUGGAUACUGGGUCACUAGAGUGUGGUAGAGGAUAGUGGAAUUUCCGGUGUAGCAGUGAAAUGCGUAGAGAUCGGAAGGAACAUCUGUGGCGAAGGCGACUAUCUGGGCCAACACUGACACUGAGGCACGAAAGCGUGGGGAGCAAACAGGAUUAGAUACCCCAGUAGUCCCUGUCUCUUAUAC